CUUUUCUAGUUUAUUUUUGAAGUAUAUUCUGCCCACUGAUAAUUUAUUAUUUAAUGGCCGCGGUAUUUUGACCGUGCAAAGGUAGCAUAAUCAUUAGUCUUUUAAUUGGAGGCUGGAAUGAAAGAUUGGACGAAAUAUAAACUGUCUUUAUUUAAUUAAUUAGAAUUUAAUUAUUAUAUAAAAAGGUUAAAAUAUUGUUAUGGGACGAUAAGACCCUAUAGAAUUUUAUAUUAUAUUGUUUGUUGGAUUAAUAAAUAUAAAAAAUUAUAAUAUUUUGUUGGGGUGAUAUAAAGAUAAUAGAACUCUUUAUAUAAAUUAAAUAUUAAUAAAUAGGUUUUUGAUCCAUUAAUAGUGAUUAUAARAUUAAAUUACC
rnacentral:rRNA from 1 species